CAGCUGGUUUGUAUGUGCCACAGCCAAUUUAUCAGACUCCAUCUGUAAUGGGAGGAUUGCAACCUAGUGGUCUACUUGGUAUGCCUAAUGGAAUGAUAGGAAAUCAAUUUCAAAGUAAUGAAAUGCUUCAGUCUACGCCUACUGUUCCUUCAACUAAUCCUUUCAUUUCCCUGGAGGUAGGGCAGCAGGGAGGAGCUGCCUGGGGUAGUGGUCUGUCUAACAGUGGCCAAGAAUCACCUGGGUUUGGCCAGGAUGAACACUCAACUUAUCCAGUAGAUCCAGGGACCUGUUAGGAAAAAAAAGAGAAAGUUAAAUUUAUUCAUCCCUUUAAUUUCUUCUGAGGGAGAAUAACUUUGCAUCAUUAGAUUGUCCCUAAGUGAAGCUAUGUUUUAGAAUUUAUUUUUCAUUCACAAGUUGCAGUAAUAAAGAUUGGCUUUGUAUGUGUGUAUAUAUAUAUAUAUAUAUAUAUAUUUUUACAAAUGUAAGAGAUAUACUUUUACCAGUCUCACAAAAAAGAACCUUUGUAUAAUGAUAGUUAAUAUGUUGCUUCUCAUGACUUUUUUAAAGUUUAAACAUGAUAUAAUAGACUUUACAUUGGUUGUCGAGACAAAAUUUCUUGUAUCUUUAAAACAGUCAGAACUGCAUUAGUAUCAUAUUUUUGUAAAGGGAAUAAAUAAUCAACCAAGUGAUCUAUAAGUUAAUAGAUAAUAUAGCAAAAGAAACCGGGUGCAUGCAAUGAUUUGGGACAAUGAAAUAAUAAAUUUAUGGUAAGAAAAUACAAUAUCUUGACUUGCAUUAAGAAUACACUUUUUUUUUUUGCUGUUUGGAAACAUAAAUGUUAUUUUAUUCAGUUUGAGAAGACCUGCAAUAUUUUUUUACCAACCAGGUAGAUUAUUUUCACUUUUUAUGUACUCAGUGUGAGUUUUAGGAGUAUUUGGCACUGGACAUGAAUUACUUUUGUGUCCUCAAAAUGUAUGAACUUUGUGGCUGACCAUAAUAACAACUCCUGUAACAAAAUUAUGAAAAUGUUGAAGUUAGAACAAAUUUUUGGUCUAUGUUGAAUACCAUUAAUUCUUUACAUUACAUUGUGCAUAAUCCUGUAGCUUCACCAGCAGAUGGCAUCUCUUCAAUUGGGAGGACAGCCCUGGGGUAUGAUGGGUAAUCUUCAGCCUUUAAACCCUGCAUUAGGUGUACAACCUAUGAGUAUGACUCCAUCAACAGGAAUGGGAGCUGUCCAACCCACCACAGGUACCUGGUCUCAGUCACCUCAAGAUCAGACUUUAUCUACCAACCUCUGGCAUUGAAGUUGGAUAAUUUUAGGAUUGGAGAAGUUAGUAUUUAAGAAUAUCUUCUGUGUAAAAAAACUGAAAAGGAGCUAUGGCUGCGAAAUUCAACUUCAGUUAUUCAAUAUACUCUGUCAACAUGUCUCUAAAAGGAAAAUAUUGGGAGUAUUUUGAACUUAAGGAAGAUGAAUUUACAAAGAAUAAGAAAGUGUUUUGUUUACUGUACCCAGACAAGUUUACUUCGCUUAUCAUGCAAUACAUCAAUCAUGAAAAACCAUCCUCAGUCAAAGCAUACUGCUGAAUACAGUGAGAUUGAACCCAUUACAAGUUCUGAAAAAGGUUUGUACAUAAUUAUAACUGUUCUUGAAAUAGGUUUACCCAAUAUAAACUAAUGGCCUCAAAGUAAAGUGUAGACAGCAAGUUAUCGAAGAUAAAAAUGAAGAAUGUUUAAAACUUGCCGUUACUAUAGUAUACUUAAUUUGACACGUGUGUUAAAUGAAAAUUUAAUUAUAUUUUUGACUUAUAAUGGAGCAAUAGGGAAAUUUAAAAAAGGUCUUUUUGUAUCCUCAGGACACCUGCAGCAAAUCUCUGGAUGUGACUUGCUGCUGUCUAGAGAUUGCUACAUAUAUAUAUCACCAAGAAGCGGGUCCAAAUGUGUGUGUGUGUGUGGUAAACAUAUGACCUCUGUCCAUUGGUGAGGGGCAGGGAUUAAUUUCGUAGAGCAAAGCUUUGGAUGAAAGAUAUGACCUGCCAUUCUAUUAAACAGUGAGGAAGUACCUCAGCCUUGAGUAUCAAGAGAAAAAAGAGGAAGUUAAGUCCAUACUUAAAUACAAAAUGUUGCACUACAACUGACAUCUGAUCAAGCCAUGUGAACCAGUGAUACAUCAUUGUUACCUGCUACUUUAUUGAUGAAGACUGGAACAUGAGAAGGGGAGUGUUAGCUACCAGACACGUGCUGGAAUGCCACACAGGAAAGAACACAGCAAUCAGAAUACAGUCUACACCAGAAGUUUCAGACCAAAGAGAUAGCACAGUUUACACAUUAUAAUGCUUCACAUAUGGAAGAAGCUAUGUGAUAGUCUGUUUUGGGCAUACACUACAGCUUACCAUAAGAGAAGGAAUGGUUCAUGAUGACAUCAAAGAAUGUGUACAUGCAUGUAAAAAAUCUUGUUACAAACUUCCAUAAUUUGCCUUUGGCUACAGGAGAGCUCCAGAAGUGACAAGUUGCAAUGAGGAGGGAAAGAGAUCUUGAACUUAUACUCCAACAAGAUGCUGCUACCCAUUGGAAUAGCAAUUGCUUCAUGAUGAAAAGUCUAUUGCCCAACAGACUAGCCAUAUAUGCUGUUCUUUAUGACAAAUCUAUCACAAAGCCUGACACUGCAAGAAAACUGGAGGUUCCAGAACAUGUCUGGACAACUGCUGAAGAUUUCUGCAAGGUCUUAAAGCCAUUUGAUUUUGCUAUUGCACAGAUGGGUGCAUAACUUUACCCUACUUUUGGUUGUGUCUACCCCAUGAUCAGUGCAAGCAGAAAAUUCAGAACCACUGACAAACUUCAAGGAUAAAUAUACAGUUUCAAUGAGAAGAUGAUUCAGUAUGGGAACAGUGGAGGAACUUGAUUAGAUAUUGGCAGCAGUGCUUCACAGUGACAGCACUUCAGAAGUGUUUCAUUACAUAGCAGAACUAGGAUUCAAAGAGAAUGCCAUGUACUGGUGGAAACACAAACACCACAGGUUUCCAAACAUUACUGUGCUGGCCAUCAACCUCUAUGCCACCUGAGAGACUUUUUUUCAGCCAUGGGCCACACCACUGCAAAGGACAUAGCAGCACACAUUGGAUGAACUCUUGUUCCUGCACAACUACCUUAAGCCAAAACAGGGUAUUCUUCCAAACCUUGUUGCAGCAAUCAAAGUUCAAAACUUAGUUCAGAUUAAGCAUGAAACUAAAGCUAUGGACAUAGGUGAACCCAAGCAGGACCUGCACUGCCCAAUAUCUAAUGAAUUUUACCUUUUUUUUUUACAGUGUCUAAGACUUAGUGUUUAGGUUGAAAGUUUCUGCGUUACCAGUUGCAUGUAUUUGUUUGCAAGUAAAAGCAUUUAUUAGUUAAGUAUGGAAUUUGGUGUAAUUAAAUCAGUGAGCGCAUUCAGUUGUCAUCUAUUCAACUAACGAUUUUCAUUAAUUAUCCCAGCCUACUAGAUAUCUAAAUUUGAAGUGUUAAGUAAGUUAGGUAAUAAGUACAUCUUUUUGUCACAUACAUAUCAUCAGGCUAGUGUACAUUAAAAUUAUAAUAAGUUGAAAAUAGUUUUUAUUUUAAAUACCCUAGUGCUUCAAAAUGAAAUAUGUAAUUUGUUUUUUGAAAUGUUUUUAUUGAUUUAGAAUUUUUAUUUAUACAGAUUAGUUAUCUAGGCAGUCUGGCAGGUAUGGUGUGAUGAGUGACAUGUACUUCCAGUUAUUGUUUAAAACUUUGAAAGAAAACUGUACUUGUUGUGGUGUGGAGACAAUGAAGCAUCCACAUAGCACAAGACAACACAUCAUGUCGUUUUCUGUACUCCAGCAAAUCCGUCUUAGAGGUGGCUUAAAUUUCAGUUAGUGUGAGUUUUAUUGAAGCUUGGGUCAACUUUUCCAUUCGCAGGAAGACAACCCUGACAAGAUGGUAUAGUUUCCUGCCAAUAUCAAUAGUAUUAUUGUACAGUAUUCUAUUAUCAACUGUUAGUAAACAAAAAAAAACUAUAA
rnacentral:misc_RNA from 1 species